rnacentral:tRNA from 1 species
GUGGGGGUGGCUCAGUGGUUGAGAGCACUAGCUGCCUGCCAGAGGACCCAGGUUCAAUUCCCAGCACCCACA